CGUAGGGGGCAAGCGUUGUCCGGAUUUAUUGGGCGUAAAGCGCUCGCAGGUGGUCCGAUGCGCCGUGCGUGAAAGACCCUGGCUCAACUGGGGGGUGUCGUGCGAUACGGUCGGACUGGAGGCCAGUAGGGGGAUGCGGAAUUCCGGGUGUAGUGGUGGAAUGCGUAGAGAUCCGGAGGAACACCAGCGGCGAAGGCGGCAUCCUGGACUGGUCCUGACACUCAUGAGCGAAAGCGUGGGGAGCGAUCCGGAUUAGAUACCCGGGUAGUCCACGCUGUAAACGAUGCGUACUAGGUGUCGGGGGUAUCGACCCCCUCGGUGCCGCAGCUAACGCGAUAAGUACGCCGCCUGGGGACUACGGCCGCAAGGCUA
rnacentral:rRNA from 1 species